AGAAGGCCGUCUCCACCGAACAGCUCACGAAAUAGCAAAGCGCCGAAGCCCAUUAGCCCACUAACCAGUGAAAACCCUAGCCUGCAGUGCCGAGUGCCGACUGCCGACUGAAUCCGAAUCGUGCUCUCUCUCUCUCUGCCUCUCUCCAUCUCUUGGUCUCUCUUCGAUCUCUCUCUGCAGGAGGCGCGGCAGCGUUCAAUAGGACGGCGGCUGGCAGGGAGGCGCGAGGCGGCGUGCGGCGGCGGGGGCGUGGCUGCGCGAGGCGGCGGCCUGCAGGCUGCAGCGUGCGGGCCGUGCGGCGGCGGUGCGCGAGGCGGCGGCGGCGGCUUGAGGGUGUGCGAUGGGGCCGUGGCGGCGCGAGGCGGCAGCCUGCAGGCGGCGGCGAACGGCGUGCGGCGGCGGCUUGCGGUCAUGCGGGAGUGGAAGUCGCCUGCAAAAUUACGAUCCAUCAGUCGAUCUCCCGGCCGUCGAUCAUGGCGUCAAGAUCUGUGCGUUCUCGGGCCUAUGGGGAGGCCCAUUUUCUUAAAAACCCAAGGUCCAGGGGUCCGUAGCUGCCACCACCGCACUGAAGGCAAACACGAUUCGUCCACCGGCUCUUCUUCUCGAGCGGAGAGGCAUUUUCCCCUCUUGAAUCCAUCGCCGCGGCAGUGAUUCGCCCACCGGCGGCGGCUGCGAGCGUCGGCAUCGGCGGCGCUGGAAGGGUCAGGCUUGGAAAAAAAGAGAGAGGCAGAAGAAACACUACAGUUCUACAUGCACCAAGAUCCUAUCAGGUUGGUGUGAUAUGUUGAACUUUUUUGUGGGUGCAUUUAUGUUGUAUCGCUGUUGCUUCUUGUGCAGGGCAAAUUGCAAAAUUUCAUAUAUUGAUGGAAUCAGGCAUCCAAACAAAAAAGCAACACUAAAGUUGUGAUUUGGCUGAAGGAAUUUUUGGUUCUGAUUGAAAUGAUUGGAUGUCUUGGAUUUUUGGAGGUUGUUGUUCCUUUAUUCCACGUGGCAUUUUUUCCCUCAUCGAGUCAUGAAUUUUUAAUGUUUUGCACAUGAAUUGUUUUGCUUGGAAGAUCAUAACAGAUAUUUCUUUUUUGGCCAGUUAAUAUGGGAUGUGAGAGUAUACAUAGUUACUUGCAGUGAAAAUUAACUAAAAUUGCACAUCUUAAAAAGAUGCAAAUAUGGCAUAUCUUUUAUGCAACUAAAGACAUUUUGCUUUUACCUGAGUGUGUCAUGUCAUGUUUUGUUCUAGCUGUUGAUUUCCUAAGGCACAAAAGGUUUACUAUUUCUAUUGAUCGAAUUCUGCAGAUUUUUUUCCCCUGAUGACAACUACACUGCCAUGUUUUGUUUUGUUUGUGCUGAUUUGUGCGAGAACUCGUAAUUUUGCUACUAUGGCUAGUACUCCAACAACUCUCGUUUGGGUGCACGUGAAAAUGACGCUUUCAUAAUCAGGAACUAUCAUGUUUUUAUUCUAUGCAGAUUGUACUCUCAUUUGUUAGUGUGUCCUUUUUUCUGUCAUGUGCAACUUCAUUUAUAAAUUUGGGCAACUGGAGGAAAUAAUGUGUGCAAUUAUUGAUCCGAUUCUCUUUCCUAUAAUUUUGUGAUGUGUGUUUAGGCUUGGAAAAAAAAGAGAAAGGUAGAAGAAACUCCACUGUUCUACAUGCACCUAGAGCCCCAUUAGAGGAUUGGAUUUUUUUUUUCAACUACAACAUGAGAACAGCGGUGGCAGACACAUCAAGCAUCCACAUAUCAACAAAAAAAAUAGAAAAUACAUUUGACGAUCUGUAUUUUAUACUAAAUUCGUCCUUGCGGUUUCGAUCGACCUGAUCCUCUUGCUUCCUCUAAUCCAAUAUAGUGUAUUUGAUCUGUAAUGUGUGGGUGUGAUUUUUGCUAUGAGUUUUGGUCCUCCCUCUCUUCACCCUUCACGUGUCUUGCUAUGUCUUGAGAGGCAACAAAUAAUGACA